rnacentral:SRP_RNA from 1 species
GCUGGGCAUGGUGGCAUGUGCCUGUAGUCCAGCUAUUUGGGAGGCCAAGAUAGGUGGAUUGCUUGAACCCAGGAGUCUGAGGCUGCAGUGAGCCAUGGUUGUGCCACUGCACUCCAGCCUGGGUGACAAAGCAAGAUCUUAUCUCAA